rnacentral:rRNA from 1 species
CCUACGGUGUGCAGCAGUGAGGAAUAUUGGUCAAUGGGCGGAAGCCUGAACCAGCCAAGUAGCGUGCAGGAUGACGGCCCUACGGGUUGUCAACUGCUUUUAUACGGGAAUAACGCGCCUUACGUGUAGGGCUUUGCAUGUACCGUAUGAAUAAGGACCGGCUAAUUCCGUGCCAGCAGCCGCGGUAAUCCGGAAGGUCCGGGCGUUAUCCGGAUUUAUUGGGUUUAAAGGGAGCGUAGGCCGCAUGUCAAGCGUGCUGUGAAAUGUCCGGGCUCAACCCGGGCCUUGCAGCGCGAGCUGGCGUGCUUGAGUCCGCGGAAGGCAGGCGGAAUUCGUCGUGUAGCGGUGAAAUGCUUAGAUAUGACGAAGAACCCCGAUUGCGAAGGCAGCUUGCUGCAGCGGAACUGACGCUGAUGCUCGAAAGCGCGGGUAUCGAACAGGAUUAGAUACCCUUGUAGUC